CCACUCAGAUCUUCCUGUGGAACUUAUCAUGGUGCAAAAGCUAAUUUCCAUGGAAUAAAAACUGCAAUGUUUUGUUAAGAAAUGCUACAUUUAAAUAUUCUUGACAUUUCAUUUAUCAGCACAGCACAUAUGAUGUAUUUGUCUCAUUCCAUUUUCCUCAACUAGUUAGUCACAUUAUUCCUUCUGUAUCCUCUUGCAGUGCAUGUAACGUGUCCAUAGCUGUCGUGGACAACGAUACCUUACAUGAUGAGCACAACAUCAAGAACUAUGAAAACACCACUCUGUUUUUUGUAUCCAGCUUCCAGUACCUCAUUGUAGCAGUUGUCUUCUCUAAAGGAAAGCCAUUUAGACAGCCCAGCUAUAAAAACAUUCUCUUUGUAGUCUCUGUGUUGGCUUUGUAUGCCUUAAUAUUAUUCUUCAUGCUGUAUCCCAUUAAGUCUGUUGAGAAUUUCUUUGAGCUGGUCUGCCUUCCAUACCAGUGGCGAAUUGUAAUGCUUAUUAUUAUCAUUGUCAAUGCACUGGUAUCUGUUUUAGUGGAG